rnacentral:rRNA from 1 species
UACCAGCACCCCGAGUGGUCGGUGCGUUUAUUGGGCAUAAAGCAUCCGUAGCCGGUUCUACAAGUCUUCCGUUAAAUCCACCUGCUUAACAGAUGGGCUGCGGAAGAUACUAUAGAGCUAGGAGGCGGGAGAGGCAAGCGGUACUCGAUGGGUAGGGGUAAAAUCCGUUGAUCCAUUGAAGACCACCAGUGGCGAAGGCGGCUUGCCAGAACGCGCUCGACGGUGAGGGAUGAAAGCUGGGGGAGCAAACCGG